rnacentral:rRNA from 1 species
GACGAACGCUGGCGGCGUGCCUAAUACAUGCAAGUAGAACGCACAGUUUAUACCGUAGCUUGCUACACCAUAGACUGUGAGUUGCGAACGGGUGAGUAACGCGUAGGUAACCUGCCUGGUAGCGGGGGAUAACUAUUGGAAACGAUAGCUAAUACCGCAUAAUAUUGAUUAUUGCAUGAUAAUUAAUUGAAAGGUGCAAUUGCACCACUACCAGAUGGACCUGCGUUGUAUUAGCUAGUAGGUGAGGUAACGGCUCACCUAGGCGACGAUACAUAGCCGACCUGAGAGGGUGAUCGGCCACACUGGGACUGAGACACGGCCCAGACUCCUACGGGAGGCAGCAGUAGGGAAUCUUCGGCAAUGGACGAAAGUCUGACCGAGCAACGCCGCGUGAGUGAAGAAGGUUUUCGGAUCGUAAAGCUCUGUUGUAAGAGAAGAACGGGUGUGAGAGUGGAAAGUUCACACUGUGACGGUAUCUUACCAGAAAGGGACGGCUAACUAC